rnacentral:rRNA from 1 species
CCCGCUGAACUUAAGCAUAUCAAUAAGCGGAGGGAAAAGAAACCAACAGGGAUUGCCUUAGUAACGGCGAGUGAAGCGGCAAAAGCUCAAAUUUGAAAUCUGGUUUCCUUUUUGGAGCCCGAGCUGUAAUUUGCAGAGGAUGCUUUGGGUGUGGUUGCGGUCUAAGUCCUUUGGAACGGGGCAUCAUAGAGGGUGAGAAUCCCGUCUGGGACCGCUGGCCACGCCCGUGUAAAGCUCCUUCGACGAGUCGAGUUGUUUGGGAAUGCAGCUCAAAAUGGGUGGUGAACUCCAUCUAAAGCUAAAUAUUGGCGAGAGACCGAUAGCGAACAAGUACCGUGAGGGAAAGAUGAAAAGCACUUUGGAAAGAGAGUGAAACAGUACGUGAAAUUGUUGAAAGGGAAACGCUUGAAGUCAGUCGCGUCGUCCGAGACUCAGCCUCGCCUCGGCUUGGCGUACUUCUCGGCCCGACGGGUCAGCAUCAAUUUCGCCUCUCGGAUAAUGGCGAGGGAAAAGUGACACCUUUACGGUGUGUUAUAGUCCCUCGUCGCAUGCGAGGGUCGGGAUUGAGGAACUCAGCACGCGCCCUCGGGCGUCGGGGUUUUCGCCCACGAUACGUGCUUAGGAUGUUGGCGUAAUGGCUUUAAACGACCCGUCUUGAAACACGG